rnacentral:lncRNA from 1 species
UGACAAUAAUUUAUGUCGAUAAACCUGAAGAAGGGUCAGAGGUUAAUUGUUGUUUAAUACCAUAUAUAAACUACUAAGAUCUUGCGCACAGUCAAUGCGAUUAAAUUUGAUAACACCUGUGAUGUGCUCUUUCCAAUACAAUAUAAAAGUCUCCCCCCCCCCUCAAUAAAUAAAAAAAAAAGUUUAAAGGAAAUUAGUUUCAAUAAUUUAUGCAUCUAUGCUUCCUUUAUACAAAUAAAUGUUAGACAGAAAAAACAAGUCCACGAUUGACACUGGUAGAAAAAUUCCUAAUAAUGUAUCUAGAGUUAUUCCUCUUUUGCC